GGAAAAUACAUGCAUCCGGCGGAGCAAUCCCGGAAGUUAAACGUCAAGGACAUAGACUAGGAGCUAACUGACUGAUGCUAUGCAGCAUGGCUAAAGAUGACCUCUGAAUUUUCUCACCAAACGGAACCCAUCCUAAUCAAACUACUGACAUGAUUUAUUUACAAAAGAACCAGAAAAGAUGAGCUGGAAAAACCUCUAUUCAAUCCAACCAAAUCUUCUCUCCUGACCUAACAGGAACCGCUGUUUGUUCCUGGGUUAGCUUUGUGUUCUCAAGAACCCCUCAGUCGUCUUAAAGGUCAGGUUGCAUACAAAUCACACAAUCACACAGUUAUGGUCCUUUUAGCAAUUUAACAGACCUCAUAGAGACACAGGGCUGAGAGGCUGCCUCAACAGCAUCCGUUAUUCUUUGCGAGCUCCAUCUGGCCGAUUACACAUGACAACAGUUAUAGCUCUCUUCAAGAGAGUUAAUAAAUCACCCACGGAUCAGGUUAGUUCUGCCUCUUCGUUUUUCAUUCCAAUCACAAUAAAUAAUGCUCGUAAUGCCAGUUAGAUUAUUUGUGACAACUUAGUUAGCAUGUCCCCAGGUCAGGCGUCGCCCAGCUCUGAGCUCUCAAGAGGGCACCAAGUGAAUUGAGAAAGUGAUGGAAAACAAGGCUCCAACACGCCUUCCACAAUUAAUCGUAUAUUUGUAGUAGAAAUACUGUGCCUUAAGGUGAUUUCCAGUAAUAACUUAAAUCUCUUCUCUUUCUCACUCUCCAGCCUGAACUCACACUCCCUCUAUUAUUUCCCCACUCAGCUACGCCUGCAAUAGUUAGCCAAAUAACAUCCUUGUCAUGAUGUAGGGGUGAUAAUGUCAAGUAGGUGUGAGAGCUGUGUGUGUGUGUGUCACUCUGCUUAAUGGCAGCAGCCAAGCCUGCCAUUUAUUCUCUGCUGCCCUGCCAGCCAGAUGGAAGACAUCGCCCUAUUGGUGGACGUGACAAACACUUACAUCAUGCACGGUGCUGCAGCUGGAGUCUAAAAGCAGAGGGGGUAUUUAAAUCUCCUCCUGACAUCGAGCCAAUGUAGUGUCUUCCCUGGGGCCUCUGCUCAGGCCACAUCACUGAAGAGGACAGGAUCACUUCAACCAUGGUGGAGCUUUACCUUUAAUGCACAGCGGCUGACAAAGAAGGUCACCAGGGGGAGAGAGGUGCUCACUGGAGGGAUGGGAUUCUCAUUUCCAUCAGAUGAGAGAAGCAGCCACUGAACAAAUAUACCACACCCUGUAGAAGAGUUACUCUCUGCUUUCCCUCUGCACUCCUAUGUAAAUUACAGUUCGGCAGCCAGAUUAUUACUUCUAAAAAGCAACCUUUCGGCAUCCUUCACUUAGCUGUCGCGCACUUGUACAUCCUCCCCUCGUCAGCACUCCUGAAACAGUUGUGAGAAGGUUGUGGUCACAGGUGAGGCAGAGUGAUCAGGCAUCAAACCAGCCGAGGGUACAAGUUAGUCAGUGUAAGGUUUUGACUCCAGGGAAAGUGAGUGCCAUUUGCAGAAAUAAAGGCAGACAUACAGAUGCAGAGACAGACACGCACGGAUGGCGUCAGGUCACGUGAAGUCUAUAUUUUAGAGGCUUUUUUAUGGAGUCUUAAGGGAUACGACUUUGGCUGGGUUAUGACCGAGUCAAUACUAUAACCUCUGGCUAGAGGCGAGGGUUUGCCAGGUCCUGUGUUUUUACUGCCUAGUCUGUCCAGACAGGUAAUAAAGUCCUUUAACAAGCGGUCUUUAAUUUAAUGAAGAAGGCAAAGGUAAAGGCCUCCAGGUAGUCAUGAAUUUGAAUUAAUUCAUUUAUGACAAAUGGAGUCCGUCUGGCUUUUUCCCAGAUAGAUGUGUGUCUGUAUUGGUUGUGAAUAAUCAUGUAAACGUCUUAUGCUAAGCCCAUUGUGUAGUUUCAUGGUGUUUGAUGAGAUUUUAUAAAACCGUAACGGAGAUGCUGGGACUAGGCGGCUUCACUUUCAUUUGACUGUCAUCUACUGUAGCUGUCAUUCAAUUAAAGUUGCACUUGUCCUGCCAAUACUUUAA